AACGGCUACAGUGAAGAUGUACUUUUACUUUAAGAAGAAACAGUGAUUUCUUUAAGUGGAGCUCCAUUUAACCUGUUUAAAAUGGGUCAGCUGCCAUCAGCAUCAGCUUAAAGGUGUGUGAUUGUGGGCUUGCUUUUUGCGGUGCUGACGUGCUUCCCUGAGAACCAAAGGGAGACACUAAACCUCUCUGCAAACUCUUUGUAGAUUCCCAUCUGUGACUUGAUAAAUAUUUGAUGCAGUGGCCAGUCAACAUCCCUACAUUAGUGAAACUUCUGCCCAGGAGCAACUGUACAGCUCUCAGCAAUGAGAUCGGAUGCUUCCACAGCUCAGAGUUUCCUGACAGUCCUAAGCGAUGUCCUUCCAUGAUGUUUGCAGAACAACCCACGAUUCCUCAUGACGUUUGGAUAAAGUCACCUACUGUUUUUAGAACAGAGGGCAAGAGAUGCAGAGAAACGUUUCCUGUGGCCUGAAUGGUGUAAGUCACCAGUGUGGACUCUAGGACUGUGGCUGCUCCGUGUCAGCAGAGGGUACCGGAUCCCUUAAUAAAUUUACCUUUGCAUUGUG